rnacentral:rRNA from 1 species
UACGGGGGGGGCAGGCGUUGUUCGGAAUUACUGGGCGUAAAGGGCUCGUAGGUGGCCAACUAAGUCAGACGUGAAAUCCCUCGGCUUAACCGGGGAACUGCGUCUGAUACUGGAUGGCUUGAGUUUGGGAGAGGGAUGCGGAAUUCCAGGUGUAGCGGUGAAAUGCGUAGAUAUCUGGAGGAACACCGGUGGCGAAGGCGGCAUCCUGGACCAACACUGACACUGAUGAGCGAAAGCCAGGGGAGCAAACGGG